UGGCGAACGGGUGAGUAACACGUGAGUAACCUGCCCUUGACUUCGGGAUAACUUCAGGAAACUGGGGCUAAUACCGGAUAGGAAUCCUUGCUGCAUGGUGGGGGUUGGAAAGCUUCGGCGGUUUUGGAUGGACUCGCGGCUUAUCAGCUUGUUGGUGGGGUAGUGGCUUACCAAGGCUUUGACGGGUAGCCGGCCUGAGAGGGCGACCGGCCACAUUGGGACUGAGAUACGGCCCAG
rnacentral:rRNA from 1 species